AGAAAAUUGAAAAAUAAGUCAAAAUAAAAAAUCAAGUUAAUAUUAAAGAAGAAAAGAGACAUCGAGAAAAGAAGCAAGCUUAUAUGUACUAGAAAACUCUGAAGUGUGUUUAACAGAAUAAAAUAUCAAGAGGAUAGAAAUAUACACGUCCAGGAGAGUCGAGCACAUAAUUCAAGGAACCAUUUAAGGGGAAUAUUAAUGACUACGACGAGUAUAUUCUAUUCCUGGCAAUCUGCUGUAAGUAAUUUUUCAUUUUCUUGAUUAGCGGCGAGUAAUAAUUAUAAUAGAAAAA